rnacentral:rRNA from 1 species
AGAGUUUGAUCAUGGCUCAGGAUGAACGCUGGCGGCGUGCUUAACACAUGCAAGUCGAGCAGAAGCCCAUGAUCGAUACUUCGGUUGAUUGAUUGGGUGGAAAGCGGCGGACGGGUGAGUACGCGUAGGCAACCUGCCCCUUGCAGAGGGAUAGCCAUUGGAAACGAUGAUUAAUACCUCUAAUGCGGGACCAAGACAUCUUGGACCUGCCAAAGAUUUAUCGGCAAGGGAUGGGCCUGCUCUGAUUAGCUGGUUGGUGGGGUAACGGCUCACCAAGGCGACGAUCAGUAGCCGACCUGAAGGGUGAUCGGCCACAUUGGAACUGAGACACGGUCCAGACUCCUACGGGAGGCAGCAGUGGGAAUAUUGCACAAUGGGCGCAAGCCUGAUGCAGCAACGCCGCGUGAAGGAAGAAGGCCUUGGGUCGUAAACUUCUGUCCUUAGGGAAGAUAAUGACGGUACCUUUGGAGGAAGCCCCGGUAACUCCGUGCCAGCAGCCGCGGUAAUACGGAGGGGGCGAGCGUUAUCCGGAAUCAUUGGCGUAAAGGGUGCGUAGGCGGUCUUUUAAGCGCGAGGUUUAAGGCUACGGCUUAACCGUAGUCGCCUUGCGAACUGGAGGACUUGAGUGCUGGAGAGGAAAGCGGAAUUCCUAGUGUAGCGUGAAAUGCGUAGAUAUUAGGAGGAACACCAGUGGCGAAGGCGGCUUUCUGGACAGUAACUACGCUGAGGCACGAAAGCGUGGGGAGCAAACAGGAUUAGAUACCCUGGUAGUCCACGCCGAAACGAUGAGCACUAGUGUCGGGUACGCAAGUAUUCGGUGCCGCAGUUAACGCAUUAAGUCUCCGCCUGGGGAGU